GCGGGUGCUAUACAUGCAGUCGAGCGGACAGAAGGGAGCUUGCUCCCGGAUGUUAGCGGCGGACGGGUGAGUAACACGUGGGUAACCUGCCUGUAAGACUGGGAUAACUCCGGGAAACCGGAGCUAAUACCGGAUAGUUCCUUGAACCGCAUGGUUCAAGGAUGAAAGACGGUUUCGGCUGUCACUUACAGAUGGACCCGCGGCGCAUUAGCUAGUUGGUGGGGUAAUGGCUCACCAAGGCGACGAUGCGUAGCCGACCUGAGAGGGUGAUCGGCCACACUGGGACUGAGACACGGCCCAGACUCCUACGGGAGGCAGCAGUAGGGAAUCUUCCGCAAUGGACGAAAGUCUGACGGAGCAACGCCGCGUGAGUGAUGAAGGUUUUCGGAUCGUAAAGCUCUGUUGUUAGGGAAGAACAAGUGCGAGAGUAACUGCUCGCACCUUGACGGUACCUAACCAGAAAGCCACGGCUAACUACGUGCCAGCAGCCGCGGUAAUACGUAGGUGGCAAGCGUUGUCCGGAAUUAUUGGGCGUAAAGGGCUCGCAGGCGGUUUCUUAAGUCUGAUGUGAAAGCCCCCGGCUCAACCGGGGAGGGUCAUUGGAAACUGGGAAACUUGAGUGCAGAAGAGGAGAGUGGAAUUCCACGUGUAGCGGUGAAAUGCGUAGAGAUGUGGAGGAACACCAGUGGCGAAGGCGACUCUCUGGUCUGUAACUGACGCUGAGGAGCGAAAGCGUGGGGAGCGAACAGGAUUAGAUACCCUGGUAGUCCACGCCGUAAACGAUGAGUGCUAAGUGUUAGGGGGUUUCCGCCCCUUAGUGCUGCAGCUAACGCAUUAAGCACUCCGCCUGGGGAGUACGGUCGCAAGACUGAAACUCAAAGGAAUUGACGGGGGCCCGCACAAGCGGUGGAGCAUGUGGUUUAAUUCGAAGCAACGCGAAGAACCUUACCAGGUCUUGACAUCCUCUGACAACCCUAGAGAUAGGGCUUUCCCUUCGGGGACAGAGUGACAGGUGGUGCAUGGUUGUCGUCAACUCCUGUCCUGAGAAG
rnacentral:rRNA from 1 species